rnacentral:rRNA from 2 species
AGCGGCAGACGGGUGAGUAACGCGUGGGAAUCUACCGUGCCCUACGGAAUAGCUCCGGGAAACUGGAAUUAAUACCGUAUACGCCCUACGGGGGAAAGAUUUAUCGGGGUAUGAUGAGCCCGCGUUGGAUUAGCUAGUUGGUGGGGUAAAGGCCUACCAAGGCGACGAUCCAUAGCUGGUCUGAGAGGAUGAUCAGCCACAUUGGGACUGAGACACGGCCCAAACUCCUACGGGAGGCAGCAGUGGGGAAUAUUGGACAAUGGGCGCAAGCCUGAUCCAGCCAUGCCGCGUGAGUGAUGAAGGUCUUAGGAUUGUAAAGCUCUUUCACCGAUGAAGAUAAUGACGGUAGUCGGAGAAGAAGCCCCGGCUAGCUUCGUGCCAGCAGCCGCGGUAAUACGAAGGGGGCUAGCGUUGUUCGGAAUUACUGGGCGUAAAGCGCACGUAGGCGGAUAUUUAAGUCAGGGGUGAAAUCCCGCAGCUCAACUGCGGA